AUUUUUAUCGUUUGUUUAAUUCAGAGUCUUGUAUAUGCUGCUGACUGAGGCAGCACCUUCUUCCCCCUGACUUUAUGUCAGCGAUAUGCUGGGUUCAGUGGUUUCUAGAGAAGCCCAAACUAUGGUUCUGCAAGUUGCAAAAUAUUAUUUUACCCUAUUGAAUAUUGGUUCCGAACUGAACCUCAAGAUGGACUUGAUUCAUGUGAUCACUGGAAGUCAGUGAUGCAGGGGGAUGCUGGGGCUAAUAUGGUGAGAAAGGAUAGUGUAGUAUUUGGUGAUUCUGUUUUAGUUUUGGUGUGGAUCACAUUGCUCGCCACUUAGUUUUUCUAUCCUGAUUGUUUUAGUUUUCUUGCUUUUGAGAGUUCAUUUAUAAAAUGUUUUCUUGUCCACCUUAUUUAACAAAAUCCAGUCUGGUUGCUUACAAGUACUCUGGAGUGGUGUUCUGUGCUUCGAAACAAAAUAUCUUGUGUAGUAUAUCUUUUCUUCAUUGUAAAAAGUCAAAUCACAAGACUAUUACAGUUUGCUACAAUAUAAAAAUUGAGGAUGUUAACCUUUCCUUCAUUCCAUCCCAUGAAAGGAAGAGGGCUACUUUCUGAGAAAGUAACUUAAAUUGGUGGUAGGUCUAUGACUGAUGUUCAUGAAGUUCCCAUAUUGACAAUGAAGUGUGUAUCUAGUGGUAACAAGGCCUGCAAUCAAUUGUGAGCAUCUUCUGUGUGUGGCAUUUCCAUUUUGAUCUCCAUGGAAAGGGAUUAGUUUACGUCUUUACGAAUUCAGGUAUCUUCUAUUAGCUUCAAAUCGCAUUAGAAAGGAAAUAAUCCAGAGUGAGCAUGGAGAUAGCAAGAUCAUACUUUACGGGAACUCGUUCAGAGCAGUUGCUGGUGAUAAAGAGGAAGCUGUUCUUGUUGCUAAGUUUGAUAUAGACAAAUCCAAAUACAAGAGACCUAGUUUGGGGAUAUUUUGAGAUUGAUGUCCAGAUCUUUACAAGGUUCUCUUGACAUUAGGUGGCAGUGAACCCUUGCUGUGAUUUUAUGCUGCUUAUUACAAACAACAGCACAACGUUGUAGAGGUAACCAGUUAACUUCAUAAAACAUUUUCCCACAUAUGUUAUAUUUAUGGGAUGAGGAAAUAGUUCAUAUAUGUUUGAAGAUCAAAGAGAAAUUACUUAGAACGUGAUGAAUUUGAAUCUAAGGCCUGUUUUAUGAUUUACAAAGCA